rnacentral:lncRNA from 1 species
GGGUUCGGGCCGCCAACAGACCACCGAACGGACAGAGUCUCCCCUGUACGUUCAAGGGGUCACAAUCAAUACAAUACACGAGAUUCCAACCAAGAAUAGUAUUCAAGCAAGGAUUGCAUAAGGAAACAUCAAGAACAUAAAUACAACUAUACUGUUACAAGCAUUCACAUACAUUUAUUUUACAUUCCAUUUUUCACUUUCAAAUAUAAUCAACAUUACUACAAAUUAUUACAAUUUUGUUCUUUUCAUUUCCACCCCUAAGCUAGACCACUUCGGGGUACCACUAUCUCUGGUCACAAUAGUAGGGCGCUAUCUACAGAGCUACGCCCUCUCCUCGUGCCGCCACGCCGCUCGCGUGUAACCUGAAAUCCCCCAAAACAACGUGGGGUGAGAACUAUAUCCAUAGUUCCCAGCGGGUACGGUCACCCAAGGGAGAUGCUCAACCUACCAGGUCCAAAGGAGGCACUGCAAUCAUGUUAGCCCAAUAGAUAUCCACAAAUAUUUAUACAAACAAUAAAUAAAUGUGUAUGCCUCAAGAAAUGCAAUAUGCAAAUGCAAAUCAUGUAAUCAACCAAGUAGAUCACCCGAUACUACUUUCUAUCUCACUAUCCAUAGCUUUUCCUCAAUUAUAUAUCUUGCCAUUUUACAUCAUUCGUCAUUUUACUCCUAAGGUUUCCUCUACCUUAGCCAAGCUAACCACCCGACUCGGCCUCAAGUCAAUCAUCUGCGGAACCGCGUACAGCUAGGCUCGAGGUGAAGGACGUCUCACAUACACUUCAGCC